UCCCUCUCAGGGUCACACCUGGAGAGUUUCCAGUACUCUACCAGUCUCGGCUACGGGAGGGAGAGUCAAGCAGAGAAAUACCCAUUCCAUUCUUAGCUUCGCCAGUGGCUAGCGAGUGGAAGGCAAUCUGCUACAAGU
rnacentral:snoRNA from 1 species